UACGAAGGGGGCUAGCGUUGUUCGGAAUUACUGGGCGUAAAGCGCACGUAGGCGGAUUGUUAAGUUAGGGGUGAAAUCCCAGGGCUCAACCCUGGAACUGCCUUUAAUACUGGCAAUCUCGAGUCCGAGAGAGGUGAGUGGAAUUCCGAGUGUAGAGGUGAAAUUCGUAGAUAUUCGGAGGAACACCAGUGGCGAAGGCGGCUCACUGGCUCGACACUGACGCUGAGGUGCGAAAGCGUGGGGAGCAAACAGGAUUAGAACUACCGAGUCA
rnacentral:rRNA from 1 species